ensembl:rRNA nuclear encoded rRNA 5S 178
AUCUACAGCCAUCCCACCCCAGCUUCGCCUGGCCUCAUCUUAUCUCAGAAGCUAAGCAGGGGUGGGUCUGGUUAGUACUGGGGGACUUCCUGUAGGUGCUAGGUGCUAGGUGCUAUAGGCU